rnacentral:tRNA from 1 species
GCCUUCGUGGUGUUGUGAUCAGCACGCUCGACGUGUAUUCGAGAGGUUCGUGGUUCGAGUCCUGGCGAGGGCG